AAGAUUAAGCCAUGCAUGUCUAAGAAUAAGUCCUUGAAUGGUGAAUCUGCGAAUGGCUCAUUAAAUCAGUUAUCGUUUAUUUGAUGGCACCUUUACUACUUGGAUAACCGUAGUAAUUCUAGAGCUAAUACAUGCAUCAAAGCCCCGACUGUCCUUUUUGGACGGAAGGGGUGCAUUUAUUAGAUUCAAACCAUCGUUCGGCCCUUUUCGGGUCGUUCCUCCGAUGGCGAGUCAUAAUAACUAAGCGAAUCGAAUGCCUUUUAACGGCGUCGAUGCUUCAUUCAAAUUUCUGCCCUAUCAGCUUUCGAUGGUAGGAUCUUGGCCUACCAUGGCGAUUACGGGUAACGGGGAAUUAGGGUUCGAUUCCGGAGAGGGAGCUUGAGAAACGGCUACCACAUCCAAGGAUGGCAGCAGGCGCGCAAAUUACCCAAUCCCGACACGGGGAGGUAGUGACAAUAAAUAACAAUGCUGGACUAAUCUUAGUCCGGCAAUUGAAAUGAGAGUAAUUUAAACCAAUACUCGAGGAGCCAUUGGAGGGCUAGUCUGGUGCCAGCAGCCGCGGUAAUUCCAGCUCCAAUAGCGUAUAUAUAAGUUGUUGCAGUUAAAAAGCUCGUAGUCUGACCUUUUGGCCGGUGGUUUGUUUUGCCGCGGCACUUUUUCCGGCGUUGAUUCGCUCGGGAGUGUUUUUGUGGCCUCCACUCGGUCAUUCCUCGGCAGUGUUCCUUUCGGGGCGCUGUUCGGGGAUUUUCGGAGGACCGCGUGUCAAUUUAAGGCCUGCCAUUCGUUUGGUUCGGCUGGGCACGUCUUUGGGAUUCCGAUAGUUUACUUUGAGAAAAAUAAAGUGUUCAAAGCAGGCAGUUUCAUUGCCGACAAAGCAACCCCUUUUUUGGGAGUUCAUUGAAUACAUUAGCAUGGGAUAAUAGAAUAGGACAUUGGUUCUAUUUUGAUGGUUCCUUUUUAAGGACCGAUGUAAUGAUUAAUAGGAACAGUUGGGGACAUCCAUAUUCCACGGCUAGAGGUGAAAUUCUUGGAUUCGUGGAAGAUGAACUACUGCGAAAGCAUUUGUCAAAGAUGUUUUCAUUGAUCAAGAACGAAAGUUAGGGGAGCAAAGACGAUCAGAUACCGUCGUAGUCUUAACCAUAAACGAUGCCGACUAGGGAUCGGUGGGUGUCUUAUUUUUCUUGUUUCCUGAAAGGGAAUGCAUUGAAACAAUGACUCCAUCGGCACCUCCUUAGGGAAACCAAAGUCUUUGGGUUCCGGGGGGAGUUGUUUGUUUGUUUUCUUGUUUUUCUUUGUUCUUAUCAUUCUUAACCUUUUCUCUUGUUUCGGUCCCCCCAGGAGUGGAGCUUGCGGCUUAAUUUGACUCAACACGGGAAAACUCACCAGGUCCAGACAUUUUAAGGAUUGACAGAUUGAGAGCUCUUUCUUGAUUAGAUGAAAGGUGGCGCAUGGCCGUUCUUAGUUGGUGGAGUGAUUUGUCUGGUUAAUUCCGUUAACGAACGAGACCUUAACCUGCUAAAUAGUCCUGGGAAGUGCUUCGGGGUUUCUUUUGGUUGUGGGCGGUUUCGGGGCUCUGGCUUCGGUCUUCCUCAAUUCCAACCCUUCCAAUUCCUGAAAGUCGCUUGCCAGAUUUUUUGACUUCUUAGAGGGACUAUCUGUUUCCAGCAGAUGGAAGUUUGAGGCAAUAACAGGUCUGUGAUGCCCUUAGAUGUCCUGGGCUGCACGCGUGCUACACUGACUAGUUCAACGAGUUUACAACCUUGGCAGAGAUGUCUGGGUAAUCUUCUUAGUACUAGUCGUGAUGGGGAUAGAUGAUUGCAAUUAUUCGUCUUCAACGAGGAAAUCCUAGUAAGUGUG
rnacentral:rRNA from 1 species